rnacentral:tRNA from 1 species
GCCUGGGUGGCUCAGUCGGUUGAGCGUCCGACUUCAGCUCAGGUCAUGAUCUCACAGUUCGUGGGUUUGAGCCCCACGUCGGGCU